rnacentral:rRNA from 1 species
GACGAACCGUGCAAACGUUAUUCGGAAUCACUGGGCAUAAAGGGCGCGUAGGCGGCCCGCUAAGUCGAACGUGAAAUCCCCGAGCUCAACUCGGGAACUGCGUCCGAUACUGGUGGGCUUGAAUCCGGGAGAGGGAUGCGGAAUUCCAGGUGUAGCGGUGAAAUGCGUAGAUAUCUGGAGGAACACCGGUGGCGAAGGCGGCAUCCUGGACCGGCAUUGACGCUGAGGCGCGAAAGCUAGGGGAGCAAACGGG